rnacentral:lncRNA from 1 species
UCAAAGUUGCCCCACUUAAACUGUCUUGGAAAAAGUGCAUUAGUAGUUUUUCAUCAUGUACUACCUCAGCCAUUUUAUUGCAGUAGGACUUGAGAUGAGUCAUGGGGCAUUGUGUUCCACUGUAUUUGAUGAAUUCAGGAACACGAAAUUUCUUUGGGAUAACCACAUUUGGGACCAAACACAUCUCUGCUGCCCGGACCGGGUCAUAUAAGUC